rnacentral:rRNA from 1 species
CCCUUAGAUGUCCUGGGCCGCACGCGCGCUACACUGAUGCAUUCAACGAGUUUUACCUUGGCCGAGAGGCCUGGGCAAUCUUUUAAACCUGCAUCGUGAUAGGGAUAGAUUAUUGCAAUUAUUAAUCUUGAACGAGGAAUUCCUAGUAAACGCAAAUCAUCAAUUUGCAUUGAUUACGUCCCUGCCCUUUGUACACACCGCCCGUCGCACUUACCGAUUGAAUGGUCCGGUGAAGCCUCGGGAUUGUGGCCAGUUCACUUUAUUGGGAGUUGGCUGUGAGAACUUGUCUAAACCUUAUCAUUUAGAGGAAGGUGAAGUCGUAACA